GAGGGUAUAGCUCAGUGGUAGAGUGUGUGUUUAGCAUGCACAGGGUCCUGGGUUCAAUCCCCAGUACCUCCA
rnacentral:tRNA from 1 species